CGGGACGGUAGCAUUCCGAAUAUGUCCAUCCAGUUACUUGUCAGAAAGAUUACAAGUACUUAGCCUCCUCAAAGAUUUAUGAUACACAACAAAGAAGUCCAUUAAGAAUUCUAAGGUCAUCCGUUGGCUGGACGUGGAGCGGAACUUGGCAAUAGACCUACCGAUAGAUAGCACUGUAAAACCCUACCUUGGUUAUACCUUAGGUGUAAC